ensembl:lncRNA
UGUACAUUGACCAUCACAGUUACUGUCGAAGAAAGUGCCAACAAAUCAGACAGAUAUAGGUCACAAUUGGCAUUUUGUGAAGCUAAUCACGGGACCCCUGGGGCUUCAGCCCUGCUUAGACCUUAUGUUUUUUCUCUGACGCUGUCAAAAUUUGCCGGGUGACGGUGGAUGCAAUGUGACUCCUGAUUAGUUGCUCUGGCAACCUCGGGAAUGUUCACUGGUGGCCAUGGCAACGACUGAAGCAUGGCGAUGGAGCCCUACAGAUUAUUUAGAUUUAGAAUGGGAAAGAGAAUAUAGAGGCAGACUGGCAUGCCACAAUGUCAUCACGGAGAUGAUGUCGCUCUUCAAUAAUACUGAUACAUUACUGACAACCCAAGUCACCGUAAAGUUUGCUACUUCAAUUACUGUGGGCAUUUACAGUACUUGCAAGUCUUGAAUGCGCCCCACCUAUAAAAACAGACUGUUCUGCAGAGGGACUCAAAAACAGUAUAGAAAAUAGCCUGUUACUUCUCAA